GAGCAUUUUUACUACAAACCGAAAAAGUUUUACCGAGAAAAAAAAUCAAAAUAAGAGUCUAGAGGUCUAAAACUGAAUUUCAAAAAAUGUUUCAAAUAUAAUUUUCACAUCUCAUAAGAGAACGCUACACAUACAUCUAUUGCCUCUGCCUUCUGCAUGACAGCAAACUUGCGCUCGGCAAAUUCGAUUUUGCGCUGGUAGUUUUAAUAUUAGAGUGAAUUAAUUAUUUAAUCAAUUACCAAGCAGAACGAUGAGAAGAACAUUAUCUAUGUUUGUAUGUUGGUUUUUUUCUUUUUUUAAUUUAAGUUUAGUUUUUUUAAAUUAUUUACUUUAGAGGAAUCAGUUUAAUAUUAUUUUCCUUAAUUUUGAGUUUUCCAAAAA